GGAGGGGUUGAGGGAGGAGUUGUGGAGGUAACCUGAGUAUCUUGUCACCUGGCUGUUUCCUCCUUUUCCCCUCCCCAUGAGUCAUUUCCAGAGGACAAAGGGGAGCUGGCAGUUUCUUGCCCCCAGAGGGAAGAGCUGAACAUUGUCCUUUGUUCCAGUCCAUGUUGAAUCCACUCCCAUAUGCAAGUCCUUUGUGACCUUGAUGGUCUUCUGUCUGGGACCAUCAAGGUUGUCAUGCCAACUGGGUAGGGCUCCUGAGUAUGUGUUGGUACGCUUAAGGGAUUAUGGUCCUGUAUCAAGCCAUCCCCCUUUGACAGUCCUUCCUUCAUGGAGCAAAAUAAAAGUGGACUGGUGUAAAUCCGAUGUACGGUUGAUUUACUAUGAAUUUAUAACAGAAACGUCAUGUAUGUCGUGUGUGAGUGUGUGUGUGUGUCGUGUUUGUACAAACUGAAUGAUUGCCGGGGGGGGGGGUCUGCAACAGACUCCAUGUGGAGUUUCUUGUUGCUGUUCUUGUUUGAGAGAGACAAUAACGUUCUUAUCUUGCUUCUUGUCUGCUCUGCUGUGUACACCUUCCAUGACACAGUAGUGGAAGAUGAACCCUUGGCCCAUGGGGCCCACACACCCUGUUUCGGCCCCUGCAGAGAUUGCAACCCAUUGCUUUGCAUGCAGAAGGUCCCAUGUUCCACCUAUGGCACCUACAGCAAAGAGGAUAAAGCAGCAGCAGUUGAUAGGAAGGUUUCUUCUCUGCUUGAGAUCCUGGAGAGCUGAGGCCUGUCAGAGCAGAAAGUGCUUGGCUAGAUGGACCAAUAGUCUGACUUCUUACAAGGCAGCCGCCUACGUUCCUCAGUUCUAAUUCUGCUUUGCAUUCCAUCCAUGCAGGAAGGUAGAAUGCUAUUUGCCAGAAGCAGGGCCUUUGCAGUGAUGGCUCCAUGGAUGAAGAACAAAUUUCUCCCUUGGAAAUUGAGCGCUAUCUCCUCACCUGGCUUUUGAGGGGGCUGUGAGGCAUAUUCUGACUUUUGGUUUGGCUGGUUAGGAAUUUUGUGUCUCUUAGUUCACUGCUUGUAUUAUCUGGGGGAGAGGGUUAAAAUGGUUUAGCCUUUUUUUGAAAAAGCCACCUUGGAUAAAAUUUAGAAUUGCUUCGGGGCAAACAUGCCAACUUUAAAGUUGUGAUGCCACUUAUUUUUUCACUCGAGGAAAGGUUAAUUUUUUAGUCUCGCAGCUUUUGCUUAUUUUCUCUCUCCAGGUGCUGCUGGUUUCCCAUGUAAUUUAUUUCACUGGAGAUGAACAGCUUGUGCACUUUCCCCUUCAGAUGGCAAAGCAGAAAAGCAAGACUCUGGAUUCUCCUCCCUUCCCCUUAAGGUAUGUUUUGCUUGACACUGACUUCUGCUGUGGUGAGGACUGAGAAUGGGCAAAACUGUCAAUUCUGGUUUCUAAUUUAUCUCUUUCCUCCAACGGUUUGUGAUUUUUUUUUAAAAAAAGGAAGACAUCACAGAAACAUUUGAAUGCAUUUUUGAGCACAUUUCUCUGACUGUAUACAUUUAGGCAUGCAGUUUUGCUCAAUGUACAAAAUUGCGCAAGCAAUUCUGCCCAAUACGAUGCAUCUUUGUAUAUUAUUUUCAACAACACACACAUUUUUUGUACCCAUUUUCAUUGCAUGUUUUUGUGUUGCAAAAUUUGAGGAAGGGUAAAAUUUUGAAAUAUAGUGCUGUUUGGGUGUUGGCUUGGAAAGUUUGAAUUAGGCAAGGAAGUGCAAAUUGGGAAUGAAUUUAUCUCUUAACUGUAGCAAUGACAUAGUGUAGACACCAUUAACUGACCUUUGGGUUUGGGAUCUGGUCUUAUGAACCGACAUUUUAAAUGUGCUUAACACUGGCUGAAUUGUGCCCUUCACUUUGCACUAAAUCAGGAGUCAGCAAACAUUUUCAGCAGGGGGCCAGUCCACUGUUCCUCAGACCUUGUGGGGGGCCGGACUAUAUUUUGAAGAAAAAAAAAUGAUGCAAGAGCACGACAAGCCCCGGUGGCUGCUUAUCUGUGUCUUGCGAGUGGCAGGGGCUGGCGGCAGCGAUGGGACAAUGAGCAGUGCAUGAAAGGGCUCUGGAGAGGGGCUGCUUAAAAUGGCGGCAGCUUGAGCGCUGCUGCUGCUGACACUAACAAAGCCCAGCCCCCUUCCUCCUCUAGGCAGGGCGGGGAGAAGCCAGGAGGAGGGAGGGAGUGAGGCGUGUGAGGGAGAGGGAGGGAGAGGGAAAUAAUGCGUGCGCUGGCGAUCCACGUGGCGAUUCCCAGACCGCCCACGGGCCGGAUCCAGAAGGCAAUUGAGCAAUUGGGACUGAUUGUGCCUUAGUUUGCCUACCCAUGCACUAAAUGGUUAUACUAUUAGAAAUACAUAGAUAAUUAUGAAAUUAUUGUGAGGUUUAAUUAGUUAACUGUUUAUAUUUGGAAGGAGAAAAAUAAUCAUUUCCUUAAUAACAAUUUCCUUAAAAACCAACUUAGACACAUGAAAAACUUAAAACAAAUCCUUAUUUCCUGAUGAAUAGCUUUUGGGCUAUAAUGUAACUUAAAUAGAAUACUAUCUUUAGAAAGAUUUUUUUUCCUCCAAAAGCAUUUUAUUUUAAAAAUCCAAUUUAAAUUAAAAAAAACUGAUUUAAAUUUUAAAAAAUCCGUGGUUUUUAAAAAAUAAUAAUCUGAUUUUGAAGGAAUGGGUUUCUGUGUAGCAAGUUUAAAACUGACUCAACCCCCCCUUUUGUUCUUUCAAAAGAAAUCAUUUUAAAAUGCAUAAAACUUGAGCUGUUGAGCAAAAGCAAAAUAAGGACACAAUUGCAUAAACAAGCUGUCUCCUUUAUCAGUCACGGCAAGGGAUGACCCUGACUUUUUAGGGGAACAAAGAAAACACGUCAAUACUUUAUCUUAUGUGCUCACCACAAAAUACGUGGGGACCGAUGUCCGGGGAAAACGCCAAAAGCGUGUUUCCGGAGAUUAUGACCUCUUCCCAGAUACGAGUAGGAAGAGAAAGAUCCUUUUAUGGUCAGAAGUACAGGAAGGAAGAUCAUUUUAUGGUUAAGAGUACCAGAGCAGGAACAUAUGUGAUGUCAACCUGCGUAUACAAGCUGACGUGACUGAGGAAGGGAGAACAGGGUGUCUGGAGGAUAUACCAUAUUUUUUGCUCUAUAAAACUCACUUUUUCCCUCCUAAAAAGUAAGGGGAAAUGUGUGUGCGUCUUAUGGAGCGAAUGCAGGCUGUGCAGCUAUCACAGAAGCCAGAACAGCAAGAGGGAUUGCUGCUUUCACUGCGCAGUGAUCCCUCUUGCUGUUCUGGCUUCUGAGAUUCAGAAUAUUUUUUUCCUUGUUUUCCUCCUCCAAAAACUAGGUGCGUCUUGUGGUCUGGUGCGUCUUAUAGAGCGAAAAAUACGGUAUAUACUGCAUGAAACUUCUCAUUUCUUUGGACUUGCUGUGGACUUGAUCACGCAAGUGCCUUCUGCUAUCCGGAGAGCAGAAUAAACUCUUUCUUUGAACCAACUCAGUGUCAUUUGACUUCCUUCCUCCUGUCCCGGAGCAACGCAGACCCAAUUGGUGCACUCCAAUAAGGCUACAAUUUUUUUAAAAAAAUCAUUGGUUUUUAUCCACCCUGGUAUAGAAAUUCAAAAAGACAUAACAUAAUAACCAACAAAACAAUACGCCCCCCCCUUUAAAAGACUAAAUGUUAGGUUCUGUGGUUGCAUCCUAGCAGGCCUUUCAAAACAUCCACUUGUUGGAUAAUAUUCUAAAAUAGUCACAUGCACUCAGGCAUCUCUCUGAUCAGGGGUUUGGUGUAUACCAGGUACUUAGCAGGCCUUAAGCAACAAUGAAGACCAUUUCAUGUUGGAAACAGGGAACCAUAUGUUUUGUUGCAGGUGCAGUGAGACGCAGUGGUAAUGAGGAUGGGGAAUGAGGAUGAGUUGGGAACGAAGAGGCGAGGUGAAAAGAGCAACAGCCUACCAUGUUGGGGGCUCCAAAUCUGACACUGAG